UUUGAUCCUGGCUCAGGAUGAACGCUGGCGGCGUGCCUAAUACAUGCAAGUCGAGCGGUAACACUUCGGGUGACGAGCGGCGGACGGCAGAGUAACGCGUAGGAACGUACCCCAAACUGAGGGAUAAGCCCGGGAAACCGGGUCUAAUACCGCAUAUUAUCUUCGGAUCAAAGCUUCGGCGGUUUGGGAGCGGCCUGCGUAUGAUUAGCUUGUUGGCGAGGUAAAAGCUCACCAAGGCGACGAUCAUUAGCUGGUCUGAGAGGAUGAUCAGCCUGACUGGGACUGAGAACGGCCCAGACUCCUACGGGAGGCAGCAGUAGGGAAUUUUCCACAAUGGGCGAAAGCCUGAUGGAGCAACGCCGCGUGCAGGAGGAAGGCCUUCGGGUUGUAAACUGCUUUUAUCUGUGACGAUUAUGACGGUAGCAGAUGAAUAAGGAUCGGCUAACUCCGUGCCAGCAGCCGCGGUCAU
rnacentral:rRNA from 1 species